AUCACUCUUUGACCUUUUGGCUAAGAUCAAGUGUAGUAUAUGUUCUUAUCAAUUUAAUAUGUGAUAUGUCCUCUAUCUGAGGACAGUAUAUUAAAUGGAUUUUUGGAGCUGUAUAUCUGGUAAUCUGAACAAGUAAUUUGAAGACAAUAAUAUACACGAUAGCAACCAUUGUUGAAUUCCU
rnacentral:snRNA from 1 species